GUUACCUGCCCGGCCCCUCCAUUACAGUUGCCUGCCAGUCUUCUUCCCCAAUCAUGCCAAACCGAUUGGUCCAAUAUUGUUCAAAACCUGAUGGAAAUGCGGUGUCAUCGUAGUUUGGAGUAUGUGCAGAGCACUCGGGAUAACAAGCAGUUUAUUUCUUCGAUGAGACUGAAUUGAAAGGGAGCAGACACUGUUGUGAGCAUGAUGAUCACUUCUUCAAGUACCAUGGCUUGGAGAUAAAAAGCCAAAAUUGGCACUUUGGUCUUAGCAGCAAACAGGCCUGGCUUUGUGCGGUGCAGGUUUGCUGCAUCGGUGAUGGUUUAGUUUACCUGAUGAAAACCAGAGCAGUUGUGUACCCUGAACUCCUUUCCGAAUUCUUCAUCAAGGGGAUGGAUCUUGAAUGGCAGUGGAAUUAACAUGACAAGAUCAGAGAAUACAGCAGAUUAGACAUUGAAAAAGACAGUGUGCCCUAGACAGUCUCAACCAAAGCAUUGAACAAACUGUACAACCUGUUAAUUAACUUUUUAGAGCUGUUUGUUUGGACUAGUGUUUGUCAUUCAGAAAUAAGUAAUAACAUUAUUUCUCAGUAUAAGAAAUCUGCAGGAAUUAGAAGCUGAUAUUUACUGUAACUAUAUAAACAAACCUCUUAGGGGUUUAGCCAGGUUAAAGAAAGACAAGGAGCUACAGAAAAGAGACAGGUUUCCAUGUUUCAAUAGGACACCCUUCAUUUAUCUGUGAAGAAUUUUAACAUUUUGAAUGUUA